rnacentral:rRNA from 1 species
UACGAAGGGGGCUAGCGUUGCUCGGAUUGACUGGGCGUAAAGGGCGCGUAGGCGGUUCGUACAGUCAGACGUGAAAUUCCUGGGCUCAACCUGGGGGCUGCGUUUGAUACGUGCGGACUUGAGUGCGGAAGAGGGUCGUGGAAUUCCCAGUGUAGAGGUGAAAUUCGUAGAUAUUAGGAAGAACACCAGUGGCGAAGGCGGCUCACUGGCCCGGUACUGACGCUGAGGCGCGAAAGCGUGGGGAGCAAACAGG